AAACCAACAGGGAUUGCCUUAGUAGCGGCGAGUGAAGCGGCAAAAGCUCAAAUUUGAAAUCUGGCACCUUCGGUGUCCGAGUUGUAAUUUGAAGAUUGUAACCUUGGGGUUGGCUCUUGUCUAUGUUUCUUGGAACAGGACGUCACAGAGGGUGAGAAUCCCGUGCGAUGAGAUGCCCAAUCCUAUGUAAGGUGCUUUCGAAGAGUCGAGUUGUUUGGGAAUGCAGCUCUAAGUGGGUGGUAAAUUCCAUCUAAAGCUAAAUAUUGGCGAGAGACCGAUAGCGAACAAGUACAGUGAUGGAAAGAUGAAAAGAACUUUGAAAAGAGAGUGAAAAAGUACGUGAAAUUGUUGAAAGGGAAGGGUUUGAGAUCAGACUCGAUAUUUUGUGAGCUUUGCCUUCGUGGCGGGGUGACCCGCAGCUUAUCGGGCCAGCAUCGGUUUGGGCGGUAGGAUAAUGGCGUAGGAAUGUGACUUUGCUUCGGUGAAGUGUUAUAGCCUGCGUUGAUGCUGCCUGCCUAGACCGAGGACUGCGAUUUUAUCAAGGAUGCUGGCAUAAUGAUCCCAAACCGC
rnacentral:rRNA from 1 species